UCCCUCCCAUCCCACCCGCCGGGCGACGAGCGGCGGCCGGCGGCCAGGGCCCGAGAUGGACCGGUACCAGAGGGUGGAGCGACCGCGGCCCGAGUCGGCCAUCGCCGAGAACGAGAUCCGAAUCACCGCCCAGGGGCUUAUCCGCAACUAUGUCUCCUACGCCACGUCCCUCCUCCAGGACCGGAAGAUUAAAGAGAUUGUUCUGAAAGCCAUGGGACAGGCAAUCAGUAAGUCUGUUGCUGUGACAGAGAUUAUCAAGAAAAGAGUACCGGGGUUGUACCAAGAUACUAACAUCAGCUCUGUCAGCAUAACUGAUGUCUGGGAACCUAUUGAAGAAGGCCUUGUCCCACUGGAGAUGACUCGCCAUGUUUCAAUGAUUUCAAUUACUUUGUCUCCAGUAGAGCUGGACCAAAAUUCCCCAGGGUAUCAAAGCCCAGCUUAUGUUGACCAGCCCAGGCAACAGCAGCGCCUCCAGCAGGCACCAGCGCCGCUGCGUCAACCUCGCCAACAACCAUCUGAUUAUGACGACUCCUAUGUGCGGGGUCGUGGCAGAGGAAGGGGCCGUGGACGUGGUAGGGGUUGGGGUAGAGGAGGUUAUGGCGGAUAUGGAAACAACCAAGGUGGGUACAACCAAGGGGGGUACAAUCAAGGUGGAUACAAUCAAGGCGGGUACAACCAAGAUGGUGGGUACUAUGAUAAUCAAGGCGGAUACAACCAAGAUGGUGGGUACUAUGAUAAUCAAGGUGGGUAUGGCGGUGGAUAUGGCUACAACCAAGGCCGACAAGGAAACUACCAAGAAAAUGGUGGAUAUAACCGAGGACGGGGUGGUAUGCGUGGAAGAGGCAAUUGGAGUUACCGUGGGGGAUAUGAGCGUGGCAGGGGUGGCGGUGCUCCAGGUGGGAGGGGAUAUGAAGGUGGAAGGGGAUAUGACCAAGCUCCUGCUGGAAGGGGCUACGGAGGUGGAAGGGGAUAUGAAGGCGGAAGGGGAUAUGACCAAGCCCCUGCUGGAAGGGGAUACGAAGGCGGAAGGGGAUAUGACCAAGCUCCUGCUGGGAGGGGGGGAUACGAGGGCGGAAGGGGGUAUGGAAGGGCUCGUGGAAGAAUGGCUCGUGGGCGAGGGUACUGAGCAAAGGCAGAAUUUCCAUGGGCUUCUGGUUCUAUUUAAAUGCAUGCUUUAUAAUAUCAGGGGAAAGGUGAGUUAUCCAAGGAUUUUCUGUUGGAAGCUGUCGUUCGUGUGGGUGUUAGUUGUUUCCCCUGAGCGCGAUGUUUGGUUGUGAGCACAAUGCUUUUCCCAAGUUUAUCCUGCAAUCAUCUUUGAAUGUUGCUGUUGACGAGGUUUGCAGUUUUUCCCAAUGGUCGAUGAAUGCUGAGCAUGCAGCUCUAUGUUCAUGCCCGUCGUAUUAUCUGAUGGAACUGGUACCUUUGUUUAUUUUAUAUUUGUGCAGUUCUUUG
rnacentral:rRNA from 1 species